rnacentral:rRNA from 1 species
GACGAACCGGACAAACGUUCUUCGGAAUUACUGGGCUUAAAGGGUUUGUAGGCGGCCUUGUAAGUCAGGUGUGAAAUCCCUCGGCUCAACCGAGGAAUGGCGCUUGAUACUGCAAGGCUUGAGGGAGACAGGGGUAAGCGGAACUGAUGGUGGAGCGGUGAAAUGCGUUGAUAUCAUCAGGAACACCGGUGGCGAAAGCGGCUUACUGGGUCUCUUCUGACGCUGAGGAACGAAAGCUAGGGGAGCGAACGGG